GGGCCCGCACAAGCGGUGGAGUAUGUGGUUUAAUUCGAUGCAACGCGAAGAACCUUACCAGGGUUUGACAUCCUGCGAAUCUCUUGGAAACGAGAGAGUGCCUUCGGGAACGCAGUGACAGGUGGUGCAUGGCUGUCGUCAGCUCGUGUCGUGAGAUGUUGGGUUAAGUCCCGCAACGAGCGCAACCCACGUCUUUAGUUGCCAGCAUUUAGUUGGGCACUCUAAAGAAACUGCCCGUGAUAAGCGGGAGGAAGGUGUGGAUGACGUCAAGUCCUCAUGGCCCUUACGGGUUGGGCUACACACGUGCUACAAUGGUAGUGACAAUGGGCUAAUCCCAAAAAACUAUCUCAGUUCGGAUUGUCGUCUGCAACUCGACGGCAUGAAGUCGGAAUCGCUAGUAA
rnacentral:rRNA from 1 species